rnacentral:rRNA from 1 species
ACGCAAUAGAUACCCUGGUAGUCCACGCCCUAAACGAUGUCUACUAGUUGUCGGGUCUUAAUUGACUUGGUAAACGCAGCUAAACGCGUGAAGUAGACCGCCUGGGGAGUACGGUCGCAAGAUUAAAACUCAAAGGAAUUGACGGGGACCCGCACAAGCGGUGGAUGAUGUGGAUUAAAUUCGAUGCAACGCGAAAAACCUUACCUACCCUUGACAUGGAUGGAAUCCCUGAGAGAUUGGGGAGUGCCCGAAAGGGAACCAUUACACAGGUGCUGCAUGGCUGUCGUCAGCUCGUGUCGUGAGAUGUUGGGUUAAGUCCCGCAACGAGCGCAACCCUUGUCAUUAGUUGCUACGAAAGGGCACUCUAAUGAGACUGCCGGUGACAAACCGGAGGAAGGUGGGGAUGACGUCAAGUCCUCAUGGCCCUUAUGGGUAGGGCUUCACACGUCAUACAAU